rnacentral:rRNA from 1 species
GAUUCUGGCUCAGGAUGAACGCUAACUACAGGCUUAACACAUGCAAGUCGAGGGGCAGCAUUGGAGUAGCAAUACUCAGAUGGCGACCGGCGCACGGGUGAGUAACACGUAUCCAACCUGCCGCUUACUCGGGGAUAGCCUUUCGAAAGAAAGAUUAAUACCCGAUGGUAUAAAGAGUUCGCAUGUUCUCUUUAUUAAAGAAUUUCGGUAAGCGAUGGGGAUGCGUUCCAUUAGAUUGUUGGCGGGGUAACGGCCCACCAAGUCUACGAUGGAUAGGGGUUCUGAGAGGAAGGUCCCCCACAUUGGAACUGAGACACGGUCCAAACUCCUACGGGAGGCAGCAGUGAGGAAUAUUGGUCAAUGGACGAGAGUCUGAAUCAGCCAAAGUAGCGUGAAGGAUGACUGCCCUAUGGGUUGUAAACUUCUUUUAUAAGGGAAUAAAGUGAGGGACGUGUCCCUUUUUGUAUGUACCUUAUGAAUAAGGAUCGGCUAACUCCGUGCCAGCCGCCGC